AAUUAGGGACAUAUUUCAAAAGACUAUUUUCGCUGGCUAAUUUUAUUAUGGGGCCAUUUUGCUGAGAUUUUGAGAGUACUCCAAAAACCCUAAAUUUUCACAAUUUUUAAAGGGUAUUUAUAAGAAGUAUACAUAGAAGAACAGAAAAUUAACUAAUGUGUCACUAUUUACACAGUACAUUAGCAAAGAAAAUUACAUCAUUAUCCUUAUGUCUUUUUAUAUUUUUAUCUUUCAUCUCAAAAUUGGUUAACAAUCAAAUUACCGAUUUAAAUAAAACUUUAUCUAGAGGUAGUGAUAAUAUUAAUCUUAUUGGAUGAAAUUCAGAUUUUGCACGUUAUAGUAACUCGUUAAUUUUGUUUAUAUGAUAUAAUAAAUGAGUUAAGACGGUAACUAUAAAUAUAUCACAUAAAUUAUAACUUAUUGCGGUACAAAAUAACUUUGCAUGAUAUAAUUAUAAACUUAUUGAUAUAAAUAUUUUGUUAUCAUGUUAACCUAAAAAGUAUUACCGAGAUAUUUGUUAUCAUGUUAUCCUGAUAAUACGUUAUCUGCUAACUAUUCUGAUGCAUGUAUUUUUUUACAUGAUUAUUGAAUCGCAAGUCAACUUUUGUUACCUUUUAAUAAUAAUGUUAUCGUCUUCGCCUAUAUAUCCGUAUAAUAAUCAUAUUAUAGCUAUGUCAAUUUUGUAAUUAAUCCAAAUAUGAAGGAUAUUUUUGGUUUAUAUUUUCUUUCUCUUUCAUACUUACCUAAUUUUUAAAUUAUCUCUCCUACUUUUUUAAUUUCCACUUCUUCUGAGUAUAUAAAUUUAAUUC
rnacentral:sRNA from 1 species